UUGAGCUAUAACGUGGAAUAAGCCCUUCUGGUUCUUCAAGCCAAUGCACCCAAGCUCAAAGUCUGGGCUUGCCAAAUUAUCAGCCCUUAUGUCUCCUGCUCGCACAGGUAUCUGAACUUGGAACGCAUGGACCAGAACAGCAGGAUAUCCGUGCAUGUUGCUGGCCUGCCUGCACAGAGCGGAGAGCUACACUCCGAAUGCCCUUCACCACCCAUCAAUGUUGUUGGACCUCAAAUGCAAAGGGAGUCCUGACCUCUAACUCCUCUACAUCCCUGACUCUUUCUGGGAACAGGAAAAGAUGAGGUGUUUUUUUUUAAGUUGCAAAGAAUAAAGAAUGAAGGAGUUGGGGGACAAAAUCAACUUUGGACGUCUUUAAAAAUGAAACCUGUUCAUCACCUGGGGAUGGCCUCUGCAUGCACUGGAUGGGAACUGUCCAUAAUGCAUUAAGAUGCUGACCUGCCGGCUCCUCCAGCACUUUGUGUGUUAACCCUUGAUGUUGACUGAAGGGAUUACAAAUGAACCAGUAACACACACAAGACCCAGAGGGACUUCUGAACUUUUGUUCUUGUGUGGAAUCAAGUCACAAAUGUUCACAAUCCACUCAAGAAAAGGAACAGUUGGAGCUUAACUAACAGUGCUUAAUUGGUGGGACAUUGAAUGGAAUCAAAUGAUACUGUCACCAGAGAGAUUGUCCACAAGGUACUGAAUUUCACAUUGUGGAGCGUCCUGAUGUGUUUUUUUUUCUAUUAUAAUAUAUUGUAUUGUGCUGCUGCCUCAAAGUGAAGAAAUUUCAUGUCAUAUGCCAGUGAUAUUAAACCUGAUUCUGAUUCCGUUCAGUGCCCUGCCAUCAGCACGUCUGAAAUCCUCAACCAAGGUCCACACUUCAUUGUCGUCAGCAGGUCCUGGUGUUGAUACUGAACACUAAGGUCUGAAGGCCAAUCAGAAGUCGGAGGGAGACUGGGUCUGUGUGUCUCGACAAGUCCGCUGGGGAAUUGAACUCCAAAGUCUGUGAAUCCUCAAGUCCGUUGGAGGCUGGAAAUGACCUGUGCUAGAGCAAGAGGGCUGUGUUUGUCAGCUGGAAACGGCCUGUCCUAGAGCAACAGGGCUGUGUUUGUGUGCGUGGGUGGGAGGGAGGUACAGGGCUUGCUUUGCUUUUGUUUUGUUGUUCUGUGUUCUGUGUUGUUCUGCCAGGCAAGGUGGCAUGCUAUGUUGGCACUGGAAUGUGUGGCAACGCUAUGCCCCCAGCACAUAGUUAGGGUGUCCUAGUUGUUAA